rnacentral:piRNA from 1 species
UGCCAUAGACUUCACAGGACUUACAGG